rnacentral:rRNA from 1 species
GACGAACGCUGGCGGCGUGCCUAAUACAUGCAAGUCGAGCGGACUUUCAAGAAGCUUGCUUUUUGAAAGUUGGCGGCGGACGGGUGAGUAACACGUGGGCAACCUGCCUGCAAGACGGGGAUAACUCCGGGAAACCGGGGCUAAUACCGGAUAAUAUCUUCCUUCGCAUGAAGGAAGGUUGAAAGGCGGCGCAAGCUGCCGCUUGCAGAUGGGCCCGCGGCGCAUUAGCUAGUUGGUGAGGUAACGGCUCACCAAGGCGACGAUGCGUAGCCGACCUGAGAGGGUGAUCGGCCACACUGGGACUGAGACACGGCCCAGACUCCUACGGGAGGCAGCAGUAGGGAAUCUUCCGCAAUGGACGAAAGUCUGACGGAGCAACGCCGCGUGAGCGAAGAAGGUCUUCGGAUCGUAAAGCUCUGUUGUCAGGGAAGAACAAGUACCGUUCGAACAGGGCGGUACCUUGACGGUACCUGACCAGAAAGCCACGGCUAACUACGUG